rnacentral:miRNA from 1 species
ACCGAUUUGCUCUUUGAUCUA